CCUACGGGUGGCAGCAGUAGGGAAUUUUGCGCAAUGGGCGAAAGCCUGACGCAGCAACGCCGCGUGAUCGAGACGCCCUUCGGGGUGUAAAGAUCUGUCAGUGGGGACGAAACUUGACGGUACCCACAGCGGAAGCACCGGCUAUCUCCGUGCCAGCAGCCGCGGUAAUAUGGAGGAUGCGAGCGUUAUCCGGAUUUUUUGGGUUUAAAGGGUGCGUAGGCGGAUUUUUAAGUCAGCGGUAAAAUGUCCGGGGUCAACCCGGGCCGGCCGUUGAGACUGGGGAUCUUGAGUGGGCGUGAAGUAUGCGGAAUGCGUGGUGUAGCGGUGAAAUGCAUAGAUAUCACGCAGAACUCCGAUUGCGAAGGCAGCAUACCGGCGCCCGACUGACGCUGAGGCACGAAAGCGUGGGGAUCGAACAGGAUUAGAUACCCGAGUAGUC
rnacentral:rRNA from 1 species